rfam:Triticum aestivum genome assembly, contig: Triticum_aestivum_CS42_TGACv1_scaffold_031805_1BL
UUUCUACUCCCUCCGUCCGGAAAUACUUGUCAUCAAAAUGAAUAAAAGGAGAAGUAUCUAGAUGUAUUUUAGUUCUAGAUACAUACCUUUUUAUCCAUUUUGAUGACAAGUAUUUUCGGACGGAGGGAGUAUUAG